rnacentral:lncRNA from 10 species
AUGAGCCACCGUGCCCAGCCAUCACCAUGCUUUCUAUACAGCCUGCAGAACCAUGAGCCAAUUGAACCUCUUUUCUUCAUAGAUUACCCAGCCCUGAGUAUUCCUUUAUAGUGAUGCAAAAUGGACUAACACACCUCUGAUGUCUUUCCUCUUCCAGGAGAACUUUCCCAAUGAAAGAAAACGAAUGAAACUAUGCCUGCUGUCAUUCCCAACUUCAUACUGGGCCCUGUACUAGAUGAACUGGGGGCUCACAUAGGAAAUGACUAGCCUAAGAUGGCAGAGCAAGAACUGGAUCCUGGAUUGGAAUGCAUUGAGCAUGUGGCUCUAUCCUGAGGGUGGAGGUCUAGGGGGCCGGGAGAACUUGACAAUGGAUUUAGUCCACCUGGAAUCAGGCUCAAUCUUCAGAUGCCUCAGCCCUCCCCGAGCCCUGACCACAAGCCAAAUGGCGCUGGACCACAGUAUCAGGGUUCUCCAGCGACUCCAUCCUCCAGGGAGGAAGAGGUGGUGAAUUUCCGAGCUGGGACAGAACCCAGAGUGGCUGGAGCAGGCCAGCACCUCGCCUCAUAUACUUGGAGCCUGGAGACAUCAGGCAGCAAAUGAGAAGCAUUUUAAGGUUCUCUGACUAUUUUCUUUUUUAAUUAAUUAAUUAGUUCAUUAAUUUUUUAAUUUAAAAAUUUUUCUUACCUCUGGUUCAAGUUCUCAUGACCGAUUCCUUAAGGUUGCAACACAUGAACAUGCCUUUCCUCCAAGAAAAUUUAGAGAAUUCAGAUUAGUAAAAAGAAGAAAAUAAAAGUCUUCCAUAAACUUAUAAUCUGAGGAUAAUGUCUUUUAAUGCUUUUUCCUUCCUGUCUUUUUUCUAUGAGCAGAUAUACAUACAGGCUUUAAAAAUAUACCUUGAAAAUAGAAGCAUUCUCUAUGUGAAGUGCUUAGCAUAUUACCUAGCACAUAGUGAGUACUCAGUAAACCUUUACUGUUACUAUUAUUAUUUCUAUUUUAUAGCCUGAUUUUUCUCUCUUAAAUGGAAUUUCAGCUCCAUGAGAAUUAGAACCUUGUAAGCCUCAUUAACCUCUGUUAGUCUAGCGCUUAGCACAUAAUAGGUGCUCAAUAAACAUUUUUAAAUAGAUGAAAGAAUAAACAUUUUUCUUUCUCAUUAGAU